rnacentral:rRNA from 1 species
UACGUAGGGGGCAAGCGUUGUCCGGAAUCACUGGGCUUAAAGCGCGUGUAGGUGGGUCGUUAAGUGUCCGCGUGAAAUCCCACGGCUCAACCGUGGAACUGCCGGGCAUACUGGCGAUCUUGGGCCAUCCAGGGGUCGCCGGAACAAGCGGUGGAGCGGUGAAAUGCGUAGAUAUCGCUUGGAACGCCAAAGGUGAAGACAGGCGACUGGGGAUGUGCCGACGCUGAGACGCGAAAGCCAGGGGAGACGGAACGGG